UACGUAGGCAGCGAGCGUUGUUCGGAGUUACUGGGCGUAAAGAGUGCGUAGGCGGUUUUCUAAGUUUGGUGUGAAAUCUCCCGGCUUAACUGGGAGGGUGCGCCGAAAACUGGAAGGCUGGAGUAUGGGAGAGGUAAGCGGAAUUCCUGGUGUAGCGGUGAAAUGCGCAGAUAUCGGGAAGAACACCCGUGGCGAAGGCGGCUCUCUGGGACGGUACUGACGCUGAGACGCGAAAGCGUGGGGAGCGAACAGG
rnacentral:rRNA from 1 species